rnacentral:rRNA from 1 species
AACGCGAAGAACCUUACCUACUCUUGACAUCUUCGGAAUCUACUAGAGAUAGUGGAGUGCCUUCGGGAGCCGAAAGACAGGUGCUGCAUGGCUGUCGUCAGCUCGUGUCGUGAGAUGUUGGGUUAAGUCCCGUAACGAGCGCAACCCUUAUUCUUAGUUGCCAGCGGGUGAUGCCGGGAACUCUAAGGAGACUGCCGGUGAUAAGCCGGAGGAAGGUGGGGACGAGGUCAAGUCAUCAUGGCCCUUACGAGUAGGGCUACACACGUGCUACAAUGGCCGGUACAAAGGGAAGCGAAGCUGUGAAGUGAAGCGAAUCUCAAGAAAGCCGGUCGUAGUCCGGAUUGGAGUCUGCAACUCGACUCCAUGAAGUUGGAAUCGCUAGUAAUCGCGGAUCAGAACGCCGCGGUGAAUACGUUCUCGGGCCUUGUACACACCGCGUGUCU